UUUUUAUUUCAAAUUAACUUGCCUAUUAUAAUUUUGUCUUUAAUCAAUUUUAUGUUUUAUCUAAAUGAAAAAAGGUUAAGUAAUAUGUUAUCUAUAUUAAAUGCUGGAAGUUUAAAGGAGCUAUUGUAUUGUGUAAGAUUGAUGUGAUAAGAGAAAACUUUUUUUAUAUAUUAUUUAAGGAAAAAAUUUGUGAUGAUUCCUCUUCUCUUAAUAAUAAAUAUUUAAUAACAUAUCAGGAUAAGGAGAAACAUAAAUUGAUGAAUUUUUUAAGUCAUUAAUGUGUGUGCUAAAAUGUUUAAAUCUUGUUAAGUUAAACAUACCCAAAUAGAAACAGCUACACCAAACAGGUUAUCUACUAAACAUAGGACUAAACAGUACUUUUUAUUACUUUAAAUGAUCUUGUAGAAAAACUGAUGGUUGUAACAAACCCAUCAAAUGUUAUUGAAUAGUGAAGAAAUAAUAAUCAAGCUGUGUAAACAUAUUCAAAGAUAUCUUCAUUUGAAUAGGUUCCUCCAACAAUUUUCGGCACCCUUUCCUUUUCUGUUGGAACCUGUUUUCCAUGAUAAAUAAAAAUCAAGAGACGAAGUACUAGCUGGUUUAAUGAUAAAUUUAUCUACAUACAUAAUUGUCAUAUAAAAGAAAUAUUUAAUUUGAAUUCUACGAAUCCAAACUUUGGUAAAAAACAAUCGUUGAUGAAAGAUAAUAAUGGCUUGUCCACUCAGUGUCACUCAUAGACAUGAAACUGUAACACAUACCUAUAAAUAGCAACGAUAUAUAUGAUGAGUAUGAAAGUGUUUUACUAUGUAUUCAAAAUAAUUUUCAAUAAAUAAGCAAUUUUAUAGC